UUUGGAUGUAAAUUAUUUUUAACCUGAGUAGUAUUAGUUACGAUCUUGAAACUUAAAGAAUUUGGCGGUAUUUUAGUCUAUUUAGAGGAAUCUGUUCCUUAAUCGAUAAUCCGCGUUGAACCUUACCAAGAAUUUUGUAUGUAUACCGCCGUUUAUUUGAGAAUCUUUUUAGAGUUAUAUAAAUUUUCUAAAUUUGUUUUAUAAAGUUUAUUUCAGGUCAAGGUGCAGCUUUAUAUUUUGGUGGUGAUGGAUUACAUUUAAAUUUAUUAUUGGAUUAUUAUUUGUAAUUUGUGAUAUUAAAUUGGAUUUAAUAGUAAUUUUUUAUAGAUUGUAAAAAUGAUUUUAGCUCUAUAAUAUGU
rnacentral:rRNA from 1 species